rnacentral:sRNA from 1 species
CUGAAAGAAGCAGUAAUGCGUUUCGGUUAGAAGG